UGCAUUUACUACUGUAAGUCGCUCUAGAUAAGAGCGUCUGCUAAAUGACUAAAA
rfam:Salmo salar isolate Sally breed double haploid chromosome ssa10, whole genome shotgun sequence.